UGUGUAGCGAUUAAUAAUUGUUAUUUUUAUAAUAGUUGUUUUUAAUAAUGAAAAAAAUACCGUUUACAAUGAAAAUAGCGAGUUGGGAUUGCUGCUGUUGUUAGAUUCAGGCAGCCCUGUCUUCCGAGAGCAGCAGCACCAAGCAUGUGCAGAGUGCCGUUGUCCUGAAUUUGGGUAGGAGGGGUGGAUUUUGUAGGUUUUUCACACGCACCCGCAAAGGCUUGUGAAGCUCAUUAUUUAGCGGGUGGACAGCGUAGGCGCAAGGUGUUGCAGGAAACCCCCUCCCCAAUCAUUCAGUUUGUACCAACUCGACACACUCACACACAGCGUACAAGACGCUUCUGUUAUAAAUUCAUAGAAAAUCACCCGUACAUCGGAUCUGUACCGUUCCACUUUUAUUUUACACCAUGAAGGAAGGACUAUCAAAGGGGAGAGACUUGACACAAGGCAGCCAACACGUCCGCAGGGAGCCCUACCCAGUUAGCAUGCCAACCUUGAUGGUCCUAGACAGAAAAUCAUUACACUCACAAAGCACCUGCAUAUGAAAGUGGAUUCAGUACGGACUGAAACAAAGGACAGUGACCAGCUCUUCCCUCUGGGGGCAGGAAACAGUGAACUCCUCUUUGUCCUCAGGAAUGUAAUCAUGGGGAGAGGGGAAGGAGGAACGGGACAGGUGACAAGACACUCAGGUUACCACCACAACUCCUCCCUGAACCCCUCCUUUUUGUGAUGUGUCAAUGAUGUAGUUAUGAUGUAGUCUUAGGGGUGUAGCAUGAGGGAUUAGUAGCUAAUAAAAGUUGGGGUCUUCUUUUGUUCAGGGCUUCCAUCUUGCUUCAUCCUGUGGUGAGUUGGAGUCCUGUUGCAACAGUCUCAAUAAAGACCAAGCCUACUGGCUGCUGUUUUGCUCCAACUGUCCUGGUUGGUGUCUUUGCUUUUUGUCCAAGGGAGCCCUCGGAUUUCUCUGUUAACAAAGGCAUGGCCAAACUUGGCCCUCCAGCUGUUUUGGGACUACAAUUCCCAUCAUCCCUGACCACUGGUCCUGUUAGCUAGGGAUGAUGGGAGUUGUAGUCCCAAAACAGCUGGAAGGCCAAGUUUGGCCAUACUGUAGGGGGAAGAUCCCCAAGGGGGAUCAGAAGCCGCAAGGACAGUGGCAGACGCACAGACGCCGGCACAGACUUUUGCGAAGGCAGCGAGGAGGCUCCUCCCGAAGCCUACGCGGAAGGGAUGGAGAAACCCACCCACCCACCCUACCAAACGGCUGUGGGGCAGCGGGACACAAUAUUUGCUAAUCCUUUGGUUGGAAGGAGCUUACCAAGAAUGCCUCUCUCUCUCCUCAAAGAUUGUGCAUCCCACACUACCAAUGCAAAAAUGGAACAUGAACAUGUGCAAAAUUAUUUUUUUGUGAUCUAAGUUCACAUCCAGAUUGAAUGCCCACGUGAGCGUGUGUGUGUGUGUGUGUGUGUGUGUGUGUACGGUGCUAAACCAUGAGAAGGGAACCUUUGGCCCCCUGGAUGUUGCUGAGCUACAACUCCCAACAGCCCCAGCAAGCAUGGCCAAUAGCCAGAGAUGGUUGGGAGUUGUAGUUCAGCAAUGCACUCUUGCGCUAGACUGUUGAUCCACAAAUGUAUUGUUAGUUAUUGGUCAUUGUACUGCUAUUUAUUAAUGGCUGAAUGAAAUAGACUGAUAUUAACAGGCUUGUGGGUUGUUAUGCUUCUGAAUGCCCUCCAGGAAUUCAGGAAUCUGGGGAUACUUAUUUUUGGAAAUAGAGGAAACAACAACCCUUUAUUUUGAACAGGUGUCUCCACCCAUCACAAGAAAAACUGUAUGGUUGAUUAAUGCAACGGACAAGCUGAUGGGCUUGGCACAUAUAUGGAACGGAGUAACUCUGGAAGGUAGAAAGGUGAGAAUCCAUUGUCCAGUAUCGGAACGUCUAUUGCAAAAUGCCUUCUCCUAGGAAUGACUGUUUUCUCUAUUUAGCCAUUCUUAUUGACAAUUAUAUAAGCUGUCUCUUGGUAUCUGUUUUGUUACUAUUGUUGUUUCAUAUUUAUAUAUGAAUAAUAUUUCAAAAAUAUGUUUCCAUUCACCAUCCUUUGUCUAUGAGGUGUGGGUGGGUGGGUGACUCUGGAAUGCACUGCUAGUCAUGUGCAGUGCACUCAUUACAAAUAUGGUACUCUUCAGACGUUGGCUACCACAACAUUAAAACUAUUCCUCUGCUAUCCAAGUCAGUAUAAACUGCAGGGAUUUAACAAGCAAACUCUCUGCUACUCAACCCUCCCAAUGCUUUUCACCCCCAUCCCACCCAACUAUGAAAGAACACACAAAUCUGACUUACACCAAGUCAGAACACUGGUCAACCUAUCACAGAAUUGUUACUGGAAUAAAACUUUCAAAUAUCCAGAUAGUAGUUGAGCCAUUUCCACCUCAACUACUCAAGAUCUUUCUAGGUGAAGAUGUGGGAAAUUGAACCUAGGACCUGACCUUCUACAAGCAAAACAUGAGUUGUACCACUAAGAGGACCAUUCCUUGCCUUCAUGCAAUCACCGCAGAGCUCCCUGCAACAUUCAACCCACAAGCACAGUGCUUGACAAAAGUUGCGAGAAUCCAAGUGUGGAUAACGAAUCGAACAGAUGCAAUAAAAAGCAG